CAGCCGCCACGGUAAUACGUAGGUGGCAAGCGUUGUCCGGAAUUAUUGGGCGUAAAGGGCUCGCAGGCGGUUUCUUAAGUCUGAUGUGAAAGCCCCCGGCUCAACCGGGGAGGGUCAUUGGAAACUGGGAAACUUGAGUGCAGAAGAGGAGAGUGGAAUUCCACGUGUAGCGGUGAAAUGCGUAGAGAUGUGGAGGAACACCAGUGGCGAAGGCGACUCUCUGGUCUGUAACUGACGCUGAGGAGCGAAAGCGUGGGGAGCGAACAGGAUUAGAUACCCGCGUAGUCCCUGUCUCUUAUAU
rnacentral:rRNA from 1 species